rnacentral:lncRNA from 1 species
GUGAGUUAAUCUAAAGACAGUACCACUUGUAUUUUUUCCUGCAAAUGAAAAGUGGUAUGAAAUAUCCAAGUCCGGGUAGGACAAAAUCAGGGUACUAAAAAGAGGUAGCCUGGAUUUUGUCCUUUCUGCAUUGAGAUGACAAAGCCAAUUCAUUCAAAAUAUGUAGGAGGAGAAGAACAGAAAGACAAAUGUUUGUGUUUUGAGCAGCCAUGAAGUGAUUCCAAAGCAUCUGAUUUACUCACCUUACAUUAAACUCAAAGAGGCAAAGAAUUUCUUCUGACAUCUCCUCUCACCUCUCAAGGAAGUGGAAAAACAGUUUUUUUUGCAGCAAAAUGUUAAAAGGGGGUAUUCAGGACCAGGUUUGGUGAUGCCCUAGCUAGAAACAGGCUGCUGGGCUGGAGGGAUAGAGCAACCUAUGCUGGCUGAAGGACACUAGUUUCUCCUCCAGGCUUCUCAUCCCAUCUGAUUGCUUCCUCCCUUUGGAGAGGUCUCCUGUGGUCAGGGAAGGUAUUUUUUUACCACAUCACUACAUUUUGCCUUGCUUUCCUUUUUGCAGGCUCUGUAGGUCUGGGUUGGAGGUGUACGUGGCCUCUGCCAACAACACCAAGGUUGAGCACUCCUGACACCUUGCAGAUUGAUCAAAGGGUGCUGCAGCAAGAGCUGGACUUCCAGCCAUGGACCCACAGAAAAAAACACCAAGCCCUUUUCCCCUGCCCUUUGGCAACCUGAACUCCUCCUGCUGAGCACCGGGCAGACUCCCACUGCUCAAGAUCAUCCCCCAGCAAACCUUGAUAAGGCACCCUCAGACACACUCUGCUCCCUCUCUACCUGAAAAGAAACCUGACUGCUUGAGUGAAAAAGAGAAAUUCACCCAAGCACUGGAAAACCGUUCAUUGGAAACCUCCAGAAGCACCCAAAAUGGAACUUCAACCCCUCUCUCCAAAUUUUGAUGUCACUCAUUGUCACAACUGAUCUCAUUACUGAGGCAAUGCAGGCAGAUGAGAAUUUCCUCAGAAUUAACAUUAUAGAACAUGGUAAAACAUUGACAGUUUGAUACUAAAGGACCUUAAGCAGGUUUAUAUUCCUAGAUUUACCCAUGACCCC